rnacentral:rRNA from 1 species
UACAGAGGGGGCAAGCGUUGUUCGGAAUUACUGGGCGUAAAGGGCGCGUAGGCGGCCGCCUAAGUCAGACGUGAAAUCCCUCGGCUCAACCGGGGAACUGCGUCUGAUACUGGGUGGCUUGAAUUCGGGAGAGGGAUGCGGAAUUCCUGGUGUAGCGGUGAAAUGCGCAGAUAUCAGGAAGAACACCCGUGGCGAAGGCGGCUCUCUGGGACGGUACUGACGCUGAGACGCGAAAGCGUGGGGAGCGAACAGG